AUACGUAGGGUGCAAGCGUUAAUCGGAAUUACUGGGCGUAAAGCGUGCGCAGGCGGUUUUGUAAGACAGAGGGGAAAUCCCCGGGCUCAACCUGGGAACUGCCUUUGUGACUGCAAGGCUAGAGUACGGCAGAGGGGGAUGGAAUUCCCCGUGUAGCAGGGAAAUGCGUAGAUAUGCGGAGGAACACCGAUGGCGAAGGCAAUCCCCGGGGCCUGUACUGACGCUCAUGCGCGAAAGCGUGGGGAGCAAACAGGAUUAGAUACCCUGGUAGUCCACGCCCUAAACGAUGUCAACUGGUUGUUGGGUCUUCAUUGACUCAGUAACGAAGCUAACGCGUGAAGUUGACCGCCUGGGGAGUACGGCCGCAAGGUUGAAACUCAAAUGAAUUGACGGGG
rnacentral:rRNA from 1 species